GACGAACGCUGGCGGCGUGCUUAACACAUGCAAGUCGAGCGGUAAGGCCCUUUCGGGGGUACACGAGCGGCGAACGGGUGAGUAACACGUGGGUGACCUGCCCUUAGCUCUGGGAUAAGCCUGGGAAACUGGGUCUAAUACCGGAUAUGACUCCAUGACGCAUGUUGUGGGGUGGAAAGCCUUGUGCGGCUAGGGAUGGGCCCGCGGCCUAUCAGCUUGUUGGUGAGUAUGCNCACCAGCUCGAUCUGUAGCUGGUCUGAGAGGACGGCCAGCCACAC
rnacentral:rRNA from 1 species